ensembl:lncRNA
AUGGACAGCAGCUGUCCACCACAAGCUCAUCAGCUCAAAGGAAAAAGAAGACUGUCACAACACAAAGACAAGAUGAUGAUGACUCCGCAGGAUGGUCACUUGGGAAGAGACAAUGUCAAACUUGAAGAGCAAGACAUGCAGAUGAUGGUAAUGCUGAUGAGGAUGACGGGAGUGAUGACAUCAGUCAAGGCAUUGAAGACACAGAUGGACUGGUGCACCAGGAGAUAGGUGGAGGACAAAUGGAGAGAACUGCAGAAAAACAUGAUGAUGAUGGACAGGAGCCACACUCAACUUCAGGAAGCUCAUCUGCUGAUAAACCAAAGAGGAUUACAACAUCUAGACUGAAUGAUGUUGGUGAUGAUGAAGAUAGCGGUGACUCUGAGCAUGAUGCUCCAGAAAGGGUAGUGAAGAACCGAGGUAAGAGACCCUGGAAUGACCAGGAGAGGACGGCAGUCAAACGACGCCUUGCCAAGUCAAUCGCCCUUAAAAUGGUUCCAGGAAAGCAGGACUGCCUGAUGUGCAUUGCCAAAGAGUCUCCAGUCCUAAGUGCGCAGAAGUGGAAAGACGUGAAGUAUUUUGUAUACAACGAAAUUCUUAAAGUUAAAAGAAAGCUUGCAUUAUGA